rnacentral:rRNA from 1 species
AGAGUUUGAUCCUGGCUCAGGACGAACGCUGGCGGCGUGCCUAACACAUGCAAGUCGAGCGGAGACAGUGAGUAGCUUGCUAUGAGCUGUUUUAGCGGCGGACGGGUGAGUAACGCGUGAGCAACCUUUCCCAGACAGGGGAAUAACACACCGAAAGGUGUACUAAUACCGCAUAAGACCACGGGAUCACAUGGUUCUGGGUAAAGAAUUAUUCGUU